ensembl:misc_RNA Metazoa_SRP Metazoan signal recognition particle RNA
GCCAGGCAUAGUGGCACAUGCCUGUAGUCCAAGCUACUUGGGAGGCUGAGACAGGAGGAUCCUUUGAGUCCAGGAGUUUGAGACUGCACUGAGUUACGAUCGUGCCACUGCAGUCCUGCCUGGGCAACAGAGUGAGACCCUGUCUCUA